rnacentral:lncRNA from 1 species
GCAAUCAUUUCCAAAGACAGAAUUUCCUGAACGCUCCCCCCAACCCGGUUUGUUAUUCUGCCAUUUUGAUGGAUUGCCACGCUCAACAUGCCUGUUUGCCAUUUCUGGAACCGCAUUGCUGCAAGUUUGUCUUGCUGCUUGUCCAAAACUGGGGAGGGUGGCCUUUUAUUUUAUUAAAUAAAUAAAAAACCCAAAAGAAAACUAAUGCAAUAUUUUUUUAAAAAAAAACCCACACACACAAAAAGGGGGGUGUUAUACCACAAAAGGACUUCAUUAGCUAGAUGCUAAAAAAGAAAAAAAAAGGAAUUGUGAUGGUUAUUGCUUUGGGGGAUAGGAGGAAGGAGAGUUUUGAAAUAGUUUUGAUUUUUCUUUCUCUCUCUCUCUCCUUCCCACUCCCUGCUUCAUUCCUCAGGAUUGUUAAGCUUGACAUCUCUUUAAAUGAACUCCAAGAGAUUCCACCCGAAGCCCUUUUCCCGUUUGAGAAUUUGGCCGAGCUGGACGCGUCGCUUAAUGCUUUAAGCACGUUGCAGGACGAGAGGGAUGGGGCCCCUUCCCAACCUGGUGGCCCUUAACCUUAGUUAUAACGCGAUCAGAGAGGUGAAGGAGCUGGAAAACUGCCCCUGCCUGUCCGUUCUGCACGUGUCCCACAAUCGCUUGAGGAGCCUCACAGAUUUCCCUCUCUUGAGUAACCUGACACGGCUGAAUUUGUCUUCGAAUCAGUUGGAGUCUCUGGAAGGGGUGCAGAAUCUCCCCCGGCUCCGCGAGCUCGACGUGCAGAAGAACCGCAUUGCCAGCCUCCUGCCUCUGGCUUCUUCGCUGUCUCUCAACGUCCUCUGUGCCUCCGGCAACGACAUUGGCGGGCUGCCCGAGGCUCUGCACGUGCUCAGAGGCCUCCGCAGGCUGAAGCAUCUCACGCUCAAGGACAACCCAGUGGCGCGAGACAACCGCUACACCACUGGCAUCAAGGAGUGCACCUCCGUGGAGAUACUGGACGGGAUGUUUCUCCACGAUCCGCCAAGUCUUUCUGCUCUCCCUCUGCACAUGUGGCCCCUCCUCCGGGAACCAACAUCCAGUUCAACCGACGUCGCCCAAGCCAAAGCAGACUUGAAGGAGGCGGCCAGGAGAGCCUUCGGCGCAAGGCUGCAGCGGAGGAGAGACGACGUCGGCAGCGCUGUGCAUCACUUUCAUUCCAGGAUAUUGGAACUGCGGGAAGAGUUGACAGGCUACGAAGAAAGACUCAGACUGGAAUUGGAUGGGUGCGAAAGAUUCAUCCAAGCUCUUCCGUCGGAGGAUUUCCGAAAGUUGGACAAUCCUCAGGAGAUUGCUGAAGCCAUGGACAAAUACCUGUUCACCAAAUUCUGGGAAAAGUGGCAGAGGGGUCGAAGGAAGCCUGUCUGUCUACCCUACAAGGAGCUGAGCAAGCCAGAGGAUGUGGUGAACGCCGCUGCUCAUCUGCUCUCAAGUCUGCCGUGCUGUGUCUCCCCCACCAUCUGAGGCCAUUUCCUCUGGGGAUCUUGCCUUCUUCCAUCAGUUGUUGGCUCUGGAAUCCUGUAGCUUGUGCAGCUGCCUUGACAAUCUUUCUCCUAGAGGCCGUAGUCAACAGACACACACAAAAACCCACUUUGGAUAAUUGUUGUGACGCUCUCCUUUCUCCUUGCUGGGAUAGAUGCUUUGGGGUGAUUUUAUUGCAUGUGGUGAUUUUAGGGGUCGUUGCUAUUAAAGUUAACCAUUGCUUAGCACUAAAGAAGAAGAAGAAGAGUUUGGAUUUGAUAUCCCGCUUUAUCACUACCCGAAGGAGUCUCAAAGCGGUUAACAUUCUCCUUUCCCUUCCUGCCCCACAACAAACACUCUGUGAGGUGAGUGGGGCUGAGAGACUUCAGAGAAGUGUGACUGGCCCAAGGUCACCCAGCAGCUGCAGGUGGAGGAGCAGGGAAGCGAACUCGGUUCACCAGAUUACUAGUCUACCGCUCUUAACCACAACACCACACUGGCUCCCGCUAAAGAGCGACUUUGCAGGGGUUGCAAAGAGGACAGCCCCGGAGCCCAGACGCCCAAAUUUGUGGAGGACAAAGCUCUCAGCAGCAGCUAGCUAUGAUGGCUAUGUUCUGCCUUCUCAGUCGAAGGCAGGAUGCAUCUGAAGAUGACUUGCGGGGAAUGUGGGGAGUGUGCUGCUUUUGAACUCAGAUCCUGCUUCGCACUGGGGGCAUCUUGUCUGGCCAAACUGAGAACAGGAGUCAGGAGCCAGAGUCAGUUGCCUACCCACCACUCUCUAAGGCUCCUCCUCUCCAGGUGUUGUUUUUUUUAAAAAAAUUAAUUUUUCACAAAUAAAAAAAAAUACAAUUUUUUAAUAUAGAUCGUAAAUUACUUUACCUACCAUCUUCCCGUCCUCCCCUUCCAUGGUUUCCAUAUUUACCCUUGAAUGCUGCAUAUUUCACACAGACUAUUCAAUACAUCCAUUUUAACCUAUUGCUUUUAUUGUUGUUGGCCUGUCUGAGCCCAGCUUCGGCUGGGGAAGGCAGGAUGAUAUUAUUAUUAUUAUUAUUAUUAUUAUUAUUAUUAUUAUUAUUAUUAUUAUUAUUAUUAUUUUGAUUAAUAACGCUGUUGCUCAUGUUUCAAGUCUUGCUCACGUUUUCAUCUCACUAUGGUGGUUCUUUAAAUACUCAAUAAAAGGUCUCCAGUCCUCAAGGGGUUUUUCGUUGUUUUGGUCUCUAAUCUUCGCUGUUAAUCUUGCCGGUUCCACAUACUCUCCCAAGGUUUCCCCCCUCCCCCAAGCGCAACCAACAGCGGCAAGAGUCUUGAUAGCACAAGGAUGGAAGAAUGAGGAAAUCCCAACGAAUGAACAGUGGCAAGAGAAAUUGA